CCCAGGCAACUGUGCUGAGGGUCGGGCGACGGACUUGGUUCCAAGGUUUUGUGCUUAGGAUUCUGUCUUGCCAUUUGAUGUUGAGUGGUGGUGGUGGUGGUGAAAUCACCGAGGAGAGAACAGGAAAGGGUAAUAAAUUCCAGAAGCUGCCAAGUAAUGAUGUUCAACAGUUACAGCAAGAGGUUACAGCAACCGUUACCAUUUUCAUUCAUCAAGGAGAUGAAUAAGAGAAAACAAAGGUGUUUUGGAAGCAUGCUUACAUUAAUGGGCAUCUCUUACAGAGAUGUGAGAUCACUGGCAAUACAGCUUAAUCCGGUCCAAGAAACCUUUAAUAGAAGAAGAAAACGAAGAUUUCCAUCCUGAUCUGUGUGGGGUGUUUUUCUAUUCAGUUAUUUAACUUCUAAAUAAAACUUCCACAGUGCA